GAUGAACGCUAGCGACAGGCUUAACACAUGCAAGUCGAGGGGCAGCAUGAGGUAGCAAUACCUUGAUGGCGACCGGCGCACGGGUGAGUAACGCGUAUGCAACCUGCCCGAUACCGGGGUAUAGCCCAUGGAAACGUGGAUUAACACCCCAUAGUACUUUUAUCCUGCAUGGGAUGUGAGUUAAAUGUUCAAGGUAUCGGAUGGGCAUGCGUCCUAUUAGUUAGUUGGCGGGGUAACAGCCCACCAAGACGAUAAUAGGUAGGGGUUCUGAGAAGAAGGUACCCCACAUUGGAACUGGGAAACGAUCCAAACUCCUACGGGAGGCAGCAGUAAGGAAUAUUGGUCAAUGUACGUAAGUCUGAACCAGCCAAGUCGCGUGAGGGAAGACUGCCCUAUGGGUUGUAAACCUCUUUUAUAAGGGAAGAAUAAGUUCUACGUGUAGAAUGAUGCCUGUACCUUAUGAAUAAGCAUCGGCUAACUCCGUGCCAGCCGCCGCAGUAA
rnacentral:rRNA from 1 species